rnacentral:misc_RNA from 1 species
GAUGAAGAACGCAGCGAAAUGCGAUAAGUAGUGUGAAUUGCAGAAUUCAGUGAAUCAUCGAAUCUUUGAACGCACAUUGCGCCCGCUAGUAUUCUGGCGGGCAUGUCUGUCCGAGCGUCAUUUCAACCCUCAAGCCCCCGGGCUUGGUGUUGGGGAUCGGCGAGCCUCCGCGCCCGCCGUCCCCUAAAUCUAGUGGCGGUCUCGCUGUAGCUUCCUCUGCGUAGUAGCACACCUCGCACUGGGAAACAGCGCGGCCACGCCGUUAAACCCCCAACUUCUGAACGUUUGACCUCGGAUCAGGUAGGAAUACCCGCUGAACUUAAGCAUAUCAAUAAGCGGAGGA